rnacentral:tRNA from 1 species
UGGCUCAGUGGUAGAGCACUUGCCUUGCAUGCAUGAUGCCCUGGGUUCAAUUCCUCAG